rnacentral:rRNA from 1 species
UCCACCCGAGACUCAGUGAAAUUGAACUCGCUGUGAAGAUGCAGUGUACCCGCGGCAAGACGGAAAGACCCCGUGAACCUUUACUAUAGCUUGACACUGAACACUGGUCCUUGAUGUGUAGGAUAGGUGGGAGGCUUUGAAGCGUGGACGCCAGUCUGCGUGGAGCCAACCUUGAAAUACCACCCUUUAAUGGCUGGUGUUCUAACGUAGACCCGUGAUCCGGGUUGCGGACAGUGUCUGGUGGGUAGUUUGACUGGGGCGGUCUCCUCCCAAAGAGUAACGGAGGAGCACGAAGGUUGGCUAAUCCUGGUCGGACAUCAGGAGGUUAGUGCAAUGGCAUAAGCCAGCUUGACUGCGAGCGUGACGGCGCGAGCAGGUGCGAAAGCAGGUCAUAGUGAUCCGGUGGUUCUGAAUGGAAGGGCCAUCGCUCAACGGAUAAAAGGUACUCCGGGGAUAACAGGCUGAUACCGCCCAAGAGUUCAUAUCGACGGCGGUGUUUGGCACCUCGAUGUCGGCUCAUCACAUCCUGGGGCUGAAGUAGGUCCCAAGGGUAUGGCUGUUCGCCAUUUAAAGUGGUACGCGAGCUGGGUUUAGAACGUCGUGAGACAGUUCGGUCCCUAUCUGCCGUGGGCGCUGGAGAAUUGAGGGGGGCUGCUCCUAGUACGAGAGGACCGGAGUGGACGCAUCACUGGUGUUCGGGUUGUCAUGCCAAUGGCACUGCCCGGUAGCUAAAUGCGGAAGAGAUAAGUGCUGAAAGCAUCUAAGCACGAAACUUGCCCC